rnacentral:lncRNA from 1 species
AGCGGAGUGGGGCCACAGAACACAUUGGAAGGAGCUGCUGGAUUGGUCGCAUUUUGACAUAGUAUCGAAGCAAAUCUCAUUCUCUGUGGCAUAUUUUACUGUUUUCUCUACAUCAUGAAGUGCCUGAUCAUACAAUUCUGGAUGUUGGCUCUACUGGUCUCCCAGGCUCAGGCUAAUGUGACAGAGACUGUGCCAACAAGUAUAGAUUCUACAACUAAAACUACAACUCAACCCAUGACUAUGCCAACAAGUAUAGAUUCUACAACUACAACUACAACUCAACCCACGACUACGCCAACAAGUGUAGAUUCUACAACUAAAACUACAACUCAACCCAUGACUACGCCAACGAGUGUAGAUUCUGCAACUAAAACUACAACUCAACCCAUGACUACGCCAACAAGUGUAGAUUCUACAACUACAACUACAACUCAACCCAUGACUACGCCAACAAGUGUAGAUUCUGCAACUAAAACUACAACUCAACCCAUGACUAGGCCAACAAGUGUAGAUUCUGCAACUAAAACUACAACUCAACCCAUGACUACGCCAACAAGUGUAGAUUCUACAACUUCAACUACAGCUCAUCCCACUGUGCCAAUAAGUGUAGAUUCUACAACUAAAACUACAACUCAACCCAUGACUACGCCAACAAGUGUAGAUUCUACAACUAAAACUACAACUCAACCCAUGACUACGCCAACAAGUGUAGAUUCUGCAACUAAAACUACAACUCAACCCAUGACUACGCCAAUGAGAGUAGAUUCUACAACUACAACUACGGCAUCAUCCAGCAACUCACUGACAGUUUCCGUCAUCAGCUAUACUCUUUCCAUCCUGCUUUACAUGCUGUUGAAUUGA